rnacentral:rRNA from 2 species
UUGCACCUGAUUGAUUUUGGUCGCCAACGAGUGGCGGACGGGUGAGUAACACGUAGGUAACCUGCCCAGAAGCGGGGGACAACAUUUGGAAACAGAUGCUAAUACCGCAUAACAGCGUUGUUCGCAUGAACAACGCUUAAAAGAUGGCUUCUCGCUAUCACUUCUGGAUGGACCUGCGGUGCAUUAGCUUGUUGGUGGGGUAACGGCCUACCAAGGCGAUGAUGCAUAGCCGAGUUGAGAGACUGAUCGGCCACAAUGGGACUGAGACACGGCCCAUACUCCUACGGGAGGCAGCAGUAGGGAAUCUUCCACAAUGGGCGCAAGCCUGAUGGAGCAACACCGCGUGAGUGAAGAAGGGUUUCGGCUCGUAAAGCUCUGUUGUUAAAGAAGAACACGUAUGAGAGUAACUGUUCAUACGUUGACGGUAUUUAACCAGAAAGUCACGGCUAACUACGUGCCAGCAGCCGCGGUAAUACGUAGGUGGCAAGCGUUAUCCGGAUUUAUUGGGCGUAAAGAGAGUGCAGGCGGUUUUCUAAGUCUGAUGUGAAAGCCUUCGGCUUAACCGGAGAAGUGCAUCGGAAACUGGAUAACUUGAGUGCAGAAGAGGGUAGUGGAACUCCAUGUGUAGCGGUGGAAUGCGUAGAUAUAUGGAAGAACACCAGUGGCGAAGGCGGCUACCUGGUCUGCAACUGACGCUGAGACUCGAAAGCAUGGGUAGCGAACAGGAUUAGAUACCCUGGUAGUCCAUGCCGUAAACGAUGAGUGCUAGGUGUUGGAGGGUUUCCGCCCUUCAGUGCCGGAGCUAACGCAUUAAGCACUCCGCCUGGGGAGUACGACCGCAAGGUUGAAACUCAAAGGAAUUGACGGGGGCCCGCACAAGCGGUGGAGCAUGUGGUUUAAUUCGAAGCUACGCGAAGAACCUUACCAGGUCUUGACAUCUUGCGCCAACCCUAGAGAUAGGGCGUUUCCUUCGGGAACGCAAUGACAGGUGGUGCAUGGUCGUCGUCAGCUCGUGUCGUGAGAUGUUGGGUUAAGUCCCGCAACGAGCGCAACCCUUGUUACUAGUUGCCAGCAUUAAGUUGGGCACUCUAGUGAGACUGCCGGUGACAAACCGGAGGAAGGUGGGGACGACGUCAGAUCAUCAUGCCCCUUAUGACCUGGGCUACACACGUGCUACAAUGGACGGUACAACGAGUCGCGAACUCGCGAGGGCAAGCAAAUCUCUUAAAACCGUUCUCAGUUCGGACUGCAGGCUGCAACUCGCCUGCACGAAGUCGGAAUCGCUAGUAAUCGCGGAUCAGCAUGCCGCGGUGAAUACGUUCCCGGGCCUUGUACACACCGCCCGUCACACCAUGAGAGUUUGUAACA